rnacentral:rRNA from 1 species
GGUCCGGGCGUUAUCCGGAUUUAUUGGGUUUAAAGGGAGCGCAGGCGGACGUUUAAGUCAGUUGUGAAAUACGGCGGCUCAACCCCGGUCUGCGGCGCGAACUGGCGUGCUUGAGUCCGCGGAAAGCAGGCGGAAUUCGUCGUGUAGCGGUGAAAUGCUUAGAUAUGACGAGGAACCCCGAUUGCGAAGGCAGCUUGCUGCAGCGGCACUGACGCUGAUGCUCGAAAGCGCGGGUAUC